UAGGGAAUCUUCCGCAAUGGGCGAAAGCCUGACGGAGCAACGCCGCGUGAGUGAUGAAGGGUUUCGGCUCGUAAAACUCUGUUAUUAGGGAAGAACAAAUGUGUAAGUAACUGUGCACAUCUUGACGGUACCUAAUCAGAAAGCCACGGCUAACUACGUGCCAGCAGCCGCGGUAAUACGUAGGUGGCAAGCGUUAUCCGGAAUUAUUGGGCGUAAAGCGCGCGUAGGCGGUUUCUUAAGUCUGAUGUGAAAGCCCACGGCUCAACCGUGGAGGGUCAUUGGAAACUGGGAAACUUGAGUGCAGAAGAGGAAAGUGGAAUUCCAUGUGUAGCGGUGAAAUGCGCAGUGAUAUGGAGGAAAACCAGUGGCGAAGGCGACUUUCUGGUCUGUAACUGACGCAGAUGUGCGAAAGCGUGGGGAUCAAACAGG
rnacentral:rRNA from 1 species